rnacentral:rRNA from 1 species
GAUGAACGCUGGCGGCGUGCUUAACACAUGCAAGUCGAACGAAGACCUUUCUUUGAUUUCCUUCGGGACUGAUUAUUUUGUGUCUGAGUGGCGGACGGGUGAGUACCUCGUGGGUAACGUGCCGUGUACUGGGGGAUUACAGCUGGAAACGUCUGCUUAUAAGGCAUAAGCGCCCAGCAUCGCAUGAUGUAGUGUGAAAAAGUCCGGUGGUAUAAGAUGGAGCCGCGUCGGCUUAGCUAGUGGGUGAGGUAACGGCCUACCAAGGCGACGACCCACAGCCGAGCUGUGAGGCUGACCGGACACAUUUGGGCUGAGCCACGGCGCAAACUCCUACGGGAGGCAGCAGUGGGGAAUAUUGCACAAUGGGCGAAAGCCUGAUGCAGCGACGCUUCGUGAGCGAUGAAGUACUGCGGUAUGUAAAUCUCUAUAAGCAGUGAAGAUAAUGACGGUACCUGAAGAAGAAGCACCGGCUAAAUACGUG